GGUGUGCUCGGCAGUCACAGACCCACUCAGGACACCUCCCGUUGCCGACGGGCUAGACCUGCCUUAAAGGGGUCCCCGUGUCUCUCCAGUCUAGAGCCUAAGUUCAAACGAGGCGUAUAGGCGAGGACAGCAGGAAGGCUCCAAGUCAAACAAACGGAUGGGAAGUGGUCUUGGGAAACCUGAAGACACUGGGAUAUUCAGAAGGCCAAGGGGAUCCAGCUUAUCCUGUUGGGCAAGGUGCUGGGAGUGAAGGCAGAGAUUCCACUGAUGAUUUCCAGGAACUACCAAAGCCACGGAUCAGCUGAGUUACCCGGGCUAAUAGCAGGAGGAAACAGUGUCAGAGAGGGAUCUGGCUGAUCUUCAACUCCACUAAGUUCUCCCCAAGGGUCUUGCUCCAUCACCCACGCUGGAGUGCAGUGGCACAAUCACAGCUCACUACAACCUCAACUUUCCUGGCUCAGUGAUUAUCCCACCUCAGCCUCCUGAGUAGCUGGGACUAACAGGCAUGUGCCAACAUGUCCCACUCAUUUUUUUUUUAUUUUUUGUAGAGAUGGGUUUCACCAUGUUGUCCAGGCUGGUCUCAAACUCCUGGGCUCAAGCGAUCCUCCCUGCCUUGGCCUGUGCUGGGAUUACAGGUGUGAGCCACCGUGCUGGCCUCAGUACUAUUUUUUAUUGAU
ensembl:lncRNA HCG25 HLA complex group 25